rnacentral:rRNA from 1 species
UAAAGCAAAGAAGAGCGCAGAGUGAAUGCCUUGGCAUUGAGAGCCGAAGAAGGACGUGGUUAACUGCGAUAAGCAGCGGGGAGUUGUAAGCAAGCAUUGAUCCGCUGAUUUCCGAAUGGAGCAAUCCGCAUGAAGUAGUUCAUGCAUCCAUAUGUGAAUCAAUAGCAUAUGGAGGGGAACCGCCUGAACUGAAACAUCUAAGUAGGGCGAGGAAGAGAAAUCAACCGAGAUUCCGUAAGUAGUGGCGAGCGAACGCGGAAGAGGCCAAACCGAGAGAAGAAAUUCUUUCGGGGUUCGGACUGCAUUUAGCAUUCCUGAUCUUUAGUCGAACAGUCUGGGAAGGCUGACGAGAGAGUGUGAGAGUCACGUAGACGAAAAGGAGAAGGAGCGAGCAGGAUCCAGAGUACCGCGGGGCACGUGAAAUCCCGUGGGAAGAUGGGGGGACCACCCUCCAAGCCUAAAUACUACUCAAUGACCGAUAGCGUAUAGUACUGUGAAGGAACGGUGAAAAGAACCCCGGGAGGGGAGUGAAAAGAACCUGAAACUCUGUGCUUACAAGCACAUAGAGCACGUCAAUGUGUGAUAUGGUACCUUUUGUAGAAUGGUCCGGCGAGUUAUGGUAUGCAGCAUGGUUAAGGACUUGAGGUCUGAAGCCGAAGCGAGAGCGAGUCUGACAAGGGCGAAAAGUUGUAUGCCAUAGACCCGAAACCGGGUGACCUAGCCAUGUCCAGGCUGAAGUGGAGGUAAAACUCCAUGGAGGGCCGAACCGACCUCCGUUGAAAAGGCGGCGGAUGAGAUGUGGCUAGCGGAGAAAUUCCAAUCGAACCCGGAUAUAGCUGGUUCUCCCCGAAAUAGCUUUAGGGCUAGCGUUGUAUUAGAUUACCGGAGGUAAAGCACUGAAUGGGCUAGGGGCUGAGAAGUUACUGAACCCUAUCAAACUAAGAAUGCCGGAUAAUUGAUGUACAGCAGUCAGACUAUGUGAGAUAAGUCUCAUAGUCAAAAGGGAAACAGCCCAGACCCACAGCUAAGGUCCCAAAAUGGAUUUAAGUGGAAAAGGAUGUGGAAUUGCACAGACAACCAGGAUGUUGGCUUAGAAGCAGCCACUCAUUAAAAGAGUGCGUAAUAGCUCACUGGUCGAGUGACUCUGCGCCGAAAAUUCAACGGGGCUAAAAUUCAUACCGAAGCUUGGGCUUGACAGAAAUGUCAGGGGUAGGGGAGCGUCGUAUACGAGGUGAAGUCAUAGCGGAAGCGGUGGUGGAUUGUAUACGAGUGAGAAUGCCGGAAUGAGUAGCGAGAAUUAUGUGAGAAUCAUAAUGGCCGAAAGUCUAAGGUUUCCUGAGGAAGGUUCGUCCUCUCAGGGUUAGCCGGGAGCUAAGGUGAGGCGGAAACGCGUAGCCGAUGCACAUACGGUAGAAAUUCCGUAGCCUCCGAAGAUUUAAGCACAGGGACACUUUUGAAGGGCUGAGCCGGGCGUUGGUUGCCCCGGUCGAAAGGGACACGAGUGAGUGGAAGUCAGUUUGGAAAGAGGCGAGAAAAGCUGUGUGUAUAUGGAAGGAGCCCGUACCGCAAACCGACACAGGUAGACAGGAAGAAGAUUCUAAGGCCAGCGGGAGAAGGGUUGUUAAGGAACUCGGCAAGUUGACCCCGUAACUUCGGGAGAAGGGGUGCUUACGAAGGUAAGCCGCAGAGAAUAGGCCCAAGCGACUGUUUAGCAAAAACACAGCUCUAUGCUAAAUCGAAAGAUGACGUAUAUGGGGUGACACCUGCCCGGUGCUGGAAGGUUAAGAGGAGAUGUGAGAGCAUUGAAUUGAAGCCCCAGUAAACGGCGGCCGUAACUAUAACGGUCCUAAGGUAGCGAAAUUCCUUGUCAGGU